rnacentral:lncRNA from 1 species
AUGAUAUCAAGGAUGGGGUGAGUGACAGAGGUGGGGCCUCUGUUCCACAUGGAGAUUCAGGGACCCAGGCUGAUGGAAGACUUCUACAACAUACAGCUUCCAAGUAUACCUCUGAUGUCAACAUCCAGAGGGAGGGAGUGAAAAGAGCAUGGAGAAUAAUGAAAGCUGGCUGAGCAAAAACCCAGAGCAUAAUUUCUCACUGGCUGGCUGCUCCAGAUAGUAAUAGCUUCAGUGCCCUUCAGAGUGGAAUUUUCCUGAGCCUGUGAAGAUGUGUGAGGUGUACCCAGCAGGGCAUGAGAGCCACCACCGAGGAAGAAAAGAGAAAACUGCCUCUUCAUUCAUGCGUUUAUCUGGAAAGGGUGACCACUGCCAAUUCCGUCGUGUGACAGGAUCUAGUGUCUCUGCACAGCAUAAACAGAAACAGUCAAGGGGGAGAGGUGGAAUACAACCCGAGGCCGCAGGGUGGUAUGGUGUGGUUGUCACCGAAGUGCAGGCAUCCUUAACCAAAGGACAGGCCACACUGGUGGGCUGGAGAGGACUGCAGGCAGGGUGGAUUUAAAAUUAUGUUUUAAAUUACAUCCUCUUUUCAAUUCUUUUAAUCCUCAGAAGAAUCAAGGCAAGCCUCAGUUAAUCAGUAGCAUGGUUCAUGGUUUUAAUGGUUCUCUGGUAUUUGCCAAUCUUCCUUUUU